CCAGACUCCUACGGGAGGCAGCAGUGAGGAAUAUUGGUCAAUGGCCGAGAGGCUGAACCAGCCAAGUCGCGUGAGGGAAGAAUGUCCUAAGGAUUGUAAACCUCUUUUGUCGGGGAGCAAAAAGGCUCUGCGGAGUCGUAUUGAGAGUACCCGAAGAAAAAGCAUCGGCUAACUCCGUGCCAGCAGCCGCGGUAAUACGGAGGAUGCGAGCGUUAUCCGGAGUGACUGGGUGUAAAGAGUUGCGUAGGUGGCAUAAUAAGUAGCUAGUGAAAUCUGGUGGCUCAACCAUUCAGACUAUUAGCUAAACUGUUAAGCUCGAGACCGUUAGGGGUAACUGGAAUUUCUAGUGUAGGAGUGAAAUCCGUAGAUAUUAGAAGGAACACCAAUAGCGUAGGCAGGUUGCUGGGACGGUUCUGACACUAAGGCACGAAAGCGUAGGGAGCAAACGGGAUUAGAUACCCUAGUAUG
rnacentral:rRNA from 1 species